rnacentral:lncRNA from 1 species
GGCAGGGACCUUCCGAUGCUUAAGUCAGAGAGAAAAGUUGGUGAACAGGAGUUGAAUGUAAACAAUAGCAGAGUUUUGGCCCAGUCUAAGCUUACCGGUCCUGUUUCCUUAUCCCUUUUUUAUAGAUGAAGUUUUUGUAACCGUCGGAUGUGGUCCCGUGUUUUAUGGCACUAAAUCAUCGGGCUAUAAUCACGUAGUGAAUCGUUAAUUCCCAC